UUGGAGGGCAAGUCUGGUGCCAGCAGCCGCGGUAAUUCCAGCUCCAAUAGCGUAUAUUAAAGUUGUUGCAGUUAAAAAGCUCGUAGUUGAAUUUCGGGAUUGACACAUCGGUCGUGCCUUAAGGGGCAUGAACUGGUGUAGUCAAUUUCUCACCUUCUGGAGAACCGCGAUGCCCUUAAUUGGGUGUCGCGGGGAACCAGGACCUUUACUUUGAAAAAAUUAGAGUGUUUAAAGCAGGCAUUUUGCUUGAAUACAUUAGCAUGGAAUAAUAAAAUAGGACGGCAUGAUUCUAUUUUGUUGGUUUCUAGGAUCACCGUAAUGAUUAAUAGGGAUAGUUGGGGGCAUUAGUGUUCAAUUGUCAGAGGUGAAAUUCUUGGAUUUAUUGAAGACUAACUACUGCGAAAGCAUUUGCCAAGGAUGUUUUCAUUAAUCAAGAACGAAAGUUAGGGGAUCGAAGACGAUCAGAUACCGUCGUAGUCUUAACCAUAAACUAUGCCGACUAGGAAUCAGACGAUGUUAAUUUUUUAAUGACUCGUUUGGCACCUUACGGGAAACCAAAGUGUUUGGGUUC
rnacentral:rRNA from 1 species